UACGGGAGGCAGCAGUGGGGAAUAUUGCACAAUGGGCGAAAGCCUGAUGCAGCUAUGCCGCGUGUAUGAAGAAGGCCUUAGGGUUGUAAAGUACUUUCAUCGGGGAGGAAAAACAAAACUAAUAAUUUUAUUUUCUUGACGUUACCCGAAAAAGAAGCACCGGCUAACUCCGUGCCAGCAGCCGCGGUAAUACGGAGGGUGCUAGCGUUAAUCAGAAUUACUGGGCGUAAAGAGCACGUAGGUGGUUUUUUAAGUUCAGAUGUGAAAUCCCUGGGCUUGACCUAGGAACUGCAUUUUGAAACUGAAAUACUAGAGUAUCGUAGAGGGAGGUAGAAUUCUAGGUGUAGCGGUGAAAUGCGUAGAUAUCUGGAGGAAUACCUGUGGCGAAAGCGGCCUCCUAAACGAAUACUGACACUGAGGUGCGAAAGCGUGGGGAGCAAACAGGGAUUAGAUACC
rnacentral:rRNA from 1 species